ACCUCAAGUUAUUGGCCAAACUAUUCUGAUGUUGCUGCUGGAAGAUCGAUUUUAAAUCCUUCCACCAAGGAGAAUUGUCAACACUACCUCUACCAUGUAAUAAGGCCUGCCAUCCCCCAUAUAUAGACACUAAAGUUCUUGCCCAAAGCUGAUGGGGAUUAUUUGCCACCUGCCAACCCCAUUUGCCUAGUAAGGCUUCAUUGAACUUGUUCAAAUCUUUAAUACCCAAUCCGCCUCUGGCUUUUGAUAAACAGACUGUAUCCCAUUUAACC
rnacentral:misc_RNA from 1 species